rnacentral:lncRNA from 1 species
GCACUAUACGCCCACUGUUGCUUAUAAGCAACACCCCAAAAAAAUAAAAACUGGAGGGGGAAUUUUUCCCAUUUUAUCACUUUUUGCAUCUAUUAUCUCAUACAACAUGAAAUAAACAUAGAAAUAUUCUUUCCCAGACUCAAAACAUAAAUUGGGCUAGAAAGGGUAAAUGAUUCACUAUGAAGAGUUUGCAGACCUCGUGGGUCUCCAGCAUUAUUACCCUGUCAUCAGCUGGAUCAAAUCUUUGAAUAGGAGACUUUUGAUGCACGGGAACACUAGCGUCAGGUGAUCAAUUUUGAUAACGGCAAGGAAAGUUGUGUGAGUGCGCCACACCAGAUUUUUUUAAUAAUCAUACCAAAAUUACUAGAAAUUUUCUAAUUUAUUUGCUAUCUUUAAUUGAAGAAAUCAUUACCGUACCUAAUAUCAGUUAUUGUUUCUAUUACAGCGAAGAAGCGAGACCAAACAGCAGUAAAUAACAAGAGCUUGCAUAGAUGAGGAAAUAACAUCAGAUAAUCUUUACUUCCAUUGAGAGAGAUGGACAAUUUCCAGUCAGAAUGGGAGGAGAAAAUCGUUUAUAAAGCAUAUGAGGACAGUGGGGAGCGCUAAUAUUGGCCAAUGUGUCAAUAAUAUCUUGAGAAGAUUAUAAUGAUUGAUGAGCUGGCCAUGAAAUUUUCAUAUACUGGCCGUGCAUCAAACGGGAGCACACAAAAACUCCAUUAAUUUCAUGGGAGUGAGAUAUCGAAAUGCAUACUUGAUUGCUGUUCAAACGUUGUUUGGUGACAUUGCAACUGAGGUGAAAUAUAUGGAUCGUUGGCGUCAAAAUGGCUUCAACAAGCCAGAACAAGAGUGUUGAGAAGGACCAAGAGCAGAGAGACAACGCCUCAUGAAGCUCAAAUUGAGAACAAUAGCAGUUCAAAGUAAAAAUAUAUAAUUAGUUAUAAAUUGAAAGUUCAAUUUUUGUAAUAUUUAAUAAGAAUCAUUGCAUUUUAUUGAAAAUAAUGUUUUCUUAUUUACAUUUUUCGCUCAUAAUGAUAUACUCUGAAGUUAAGCUUUAAAGAAAAUAAACUAUAUUCAAAG